rnacentral:rRNA from 1 species
UACGGGGGGGGCAAGCGUUGUUCGGAAUUACUGGGCGUAAAGGGCUCGUAGGCGGCCAACUAAGUCAGACGUGAAAUCCCUCGGCUUAACCGGGGAACUGCGUCUGAUACUGGAUGGCUUGAGUUUGGGAGAGGGAUGCGGAAUUCCAGGUGUAGCGGUGAAAUGCGUAGAUAUCAGGAGGAACACCAAUGGCGAAGGCAGCUCGCUGGGACGGUACUGACGCUGAGACGCGAAAGCGUGGGGAGCGAACAGG